GAGGACGUCACGCCUCUGCCUCCCGUAGCCAUUCAGCAGCCGCCCUGCGGGAACAACCUUCUCCUCUGCCAAUCGGCGGCGCUGCCAGUUGCUACGUCAUGCCCGGCCCCUGCUCCUCCCCAAGAUCCUUCUGUCUCUGAUCUCUGACCUGCGUUCUUAGCUGGGACGUCGAGUUCUCCCAGGAUAAUUAUCGACCAGCAGAACCAGCCUGAAACCACCACUGAAACACAAUUUAUGCCUUGCUAUCUUCCUAAGGAUUAAGCAUCUGGGUAAGAAUACACAUCCUGGGAAGGACGCUACCCAGUCAUUUUAUCUACCCCCAUCGCUGUUAAAGUGGCUGGAGUUGAGUCUUGGAUACAUCACACUCAAGUCAAACCCUGGAUACUGCCAAAGGAACCCGAAAAUCCGGGAGACAACACUAGCUAUUCCUGUGAACCUCUAGAGGAUCUGCGCCUGCUCUUCAAGUGACAACCGUGAGGAAGUUUGUCUCUUCCAGAAUCAAAGCUGUAAAACUACAAAUCAUUCUUCAAAUGGAGCCCCAGAUGCAGAUCAUGUCUAAGAUCUACCGCGGACCCCUGGACCAGCCUGCUAGCCCAUGCCCUGAUGUUAAUGACAUUGAAGGCACCCCUCCUGAGGAAAUCUCAACUGCAUGACCCCUACUACACCCCAACUCAGCAGGAAGCAGUUAACAGUGGUCGUUGGCCGACCUCCCCCAUAGCACUUGGGUUUUCCUGUUGAGAGGGGGCACUGAGAGACAGGACUAGCUGGAUUUCCUAGAACUAAGAAUUCCUAAGCCUAGCUGGGGAAGGUGACUGCAACCAUCUUUAAACACAAGGCUUGUAUCUCAGCUCACACCUGACCAAUCAGGUAAUAAAGAGGUCUCACUAAAAUACAAAUUAGGCUAAAAGCAGGAGGUAAAGAAAUAGUCAAAUCACGUAUCAUCUGAGAGCACAAGGGAGGGAUAAUGAUUGUGAUAUAAACCCACAGGCAUUCGAGCCGGGAGUGGACAACCCCUUUUGGGUCCCCUCCCAUUGUAUGGGAGCUCUGUUUUCACUCUAUUAAAUCUUGCAAGUGCACACUCUUCUGGUCCAUAUUUGUUACGGCUCGAGCUGAGAUUUAGCUCGCUGUCCACCACUGCUGUUUGCCGCCAUCGUAGACCCGCCACUGACUUCCACCCCUCCGGAUCCAUCAGGGUGUCUGCUGAGCUUUUGAUCAAGUGAGGCACCCAUUGCUGCUCCUGAUCAGGCUAAAGGCUCACCAUUGUUCCUGCAUGGCUAAGUGCCCGGGUUCAUCUUAAUUGAGCUGAGCACUAGUCGCUUGGUUCCACAGUUCUCUUCCAUGACCCCUGGCUUCUAAGAGAGUUAUAACACUCACCGCCUGGCCCAGGGUUCCAUUCCUUGGAAUCUGCGAGGCCAAAAACCCCAGGGCAGAGAAUAAAAGGCUUGCCACCAUCUUGGGAGCGGCCUGCUGCAUCUUGGGAGCUGCCCACCACCAUCUCGGGAGCUCUAAGUACAAAGACCCACCCGUAACAGUAACAUCCUUCUCCCAUCCCUGGCCCCUGAGAGCCACUGAUCUGUUCUCUGUUGUUACAGUUUUGUCUUUUCAAGAAUGACUUAUAAGUGGACUCAUAGGAUUUGUAAACUUUCACUGAGCAUAAUGCCUUUGAGAGUCAUCCAAGUUGUUGUAUAUAUGAAUAGUUCAUUCCUUCUUAUUUCUGAGAAGUAGUUUGUGGUGUGAACAUAUCACAGUUUAUCCAUUCACUGGCUGAAGGAUAUUUGUGUUGUUUCCAGCUUCUAAAAACUAUUAUUAGAGCUCCUGUAAACUUUAUGUGCAUAGGCUGUUGCAUUUUUCUACCUAGGAGUGGAUUUGCCAGAUCAUGUGGGAAGUUUAACUUUAUGAGAAACUGCCAAUCUGUUUUUCAGAGUGGCUUUACCGUAUUUCAUUCCUACUAGCAAUUUUGAAGAGUUCCAGUUACUCUGCAUCGUUACCAGUACUUGGUAGGUUUAGCCAUUUUCAUUUUUGGUAAUCUAGUAGGUACACAGUAAUUCUCGUUGUGGUUUGGAAGUGUUGAAUUUAUUUUCAUGUGUGUAUUUGCUUUCCAUAUAAUUUUGAUGAUGUGUCUUUUCAAGUAUUUUGCUCAUUUUUUUCCCUGAGUUUUGAGGGAUCUUAUGUAUUUUGGAUACAAAUCCUUUAUAAAAUAUCAAUUGAAAAUAUUUUCUUUCAGCCUCUAACUUGUUUUUUAAUCUCUGAACAAUGUCUUCACAAUAUAGAAGUUUUUAUUUUUGAUGAAGCCUAAUUUAUUAUUUUUUUCUUUCAUUGACUAUGCUUUUGAUGUGUUCUCCAGGAACUCUUUGCUUAAAUCCAAGAUUAAAAACUUUUUCCAACUGUACUUAUAAAAAAACUUACUGUAUUUUUUAGAUGUAUAAUCUAUUUUAAAUUAAUUACUGCAAAGAGUGUGAGGUUUAUGUCAAGGUUUAUUUUUUUUGCAUGUGGUUGUCCAAUUGCUCCAGUAUGAUUUGUUGAAAAGAUUACACUCUCUCCACUGAAUUGCUGUUACAUCUUUGUCAAAAAUUAAUUGCCCACAUUUGUGUGGAUGCAUUUCUGAACUAUUUAUUCAGUACCAUUGAUUUAUGGGUCUAUCUCUUUGACAA